UCCUGGCUCAGAUUGAACGCUGGCGGAAUGCUUUACACAUGCAAGUCGAGCGGCAGCACGGGGGCAACCCUGGUGGCGAGCGGCGAACGGGUGAGUAAUACAUCGGAACAUGCCCAGUCGUGGGGGAUAACACUUCGAAAGAAGUGCUAAUACCGCAUACGUCCUGAGGGAGAAAGCGGGGGAUCGCAAGACCUCGCGCGAUUGGAGUGGCCGAUGUCAGAUUAGCUAGUUGGUGGGGUAAAGGCCUACCAAGGCAACGAUCUGUAGCUGGUCUGAGAGGAUGAUCAGCCACACUGGGACUGAGACACGGCCCAGACUCCUACGGGAGGCAGCAGUGGGGAAUUUUGGACAAUGGGGGCAACCCUGAUCCAGCCAUUCCGCGUGAGUGAAGAAGGCCUCGGUUGUAAGUACGUCUUCCUAGUCAGGAACGAAACGGACGAGUACGUAAUACUAG
rnacentral:rRNA from 1 species